rnacentral:lncRNA from 1 species
UAAAAACAGAACAGUUAAGAAGGGGUUGGAGGUAAGACAAUCAUUCACGUCUAGAUUACUGAGUGUUUAAAGAGACAGUAGGCUCUGGAGAGGUGAUAGGUCUGCCAUUUCCAAGAUAUAGAGAGAUUAACUGGAUGCACUCACCUUUAACCUUGCAAGGAUUUCUAAAGAGAACUCAGAAUUCUUGAAUUGUCCUGGACUUUGAGACAAGGUAAUCGUCCUGAAGCUGGGCUCAAGUGACCUAUCUCUGAGGCUAGAAGCAGCCUGUGCCAUAUGACCCAAUCCAACAACGAAUUGCCUUUGCCUAUAUCAGUUAAUGAGUAGACUUUGGACCCGAAAGACAGUUAAAACUCCCGGCAGCUAAGGAGAGGACCCAUUUCCUCCUUGGAUUAUCAAGCAAAAGCAGCUAACAUGAAAGGCUUCCUGCUUCUCUUUCUCUGUCUCCUUUUGGGGACCUCGGGACUGACUCAGUCGUCUGGUGGUGCCAGCUCUCCCACCACAGCACCGACUAAGCCCACCAUUAGUUCAUCUCAGACCUCUACGACAGCUCCGCCUCCUGGUGGUGCCAGCUCUCCCACCACAGCACCGACUAAGCCCACCACUAGUUCAUCUCAGACCUCUACGACAGCUCCGCCUCCUGGUGGUGCCAGCUCUCCCACCACAGCACCGACUAAGCCCACCACUAGUUCAUCUCAGACCUCUACGACAGCUCCGCCUCCUGGUGGUGCCAGCUCUCCCACCACAGUACCGACUAAGCCCACCGGUAGUUCAUCUCAGACCU